GGCGACAUGGCUCAAGAGGUACAGCAGCUGAUCUAUGAAGCAGUAGUUUCCUGGUUCGAUCCCUGGCUCCUCCA